CACCAAAAAAAUUUGGGAGAGAAUACUGUAAAAAAUUGGUGCUUUUGGGGCAAAUAAUGACCUCCAGAAGGUACAGUUAGUUCCCUAAAACAAUUUAAUAGCAAGCUGAAUAUUUCUUUAAAUGACCAUAGCCUUUAAAAGGCUGGCACCGUAGUAAUAAGUCUUAAUGACGCACUUAGUACACAAAAAUAUGGUAUUUUUUUCUGCUUAGACUUACGUAGUCCUCAACAAAUUAUGCGUGUUUAUUUCUUAUCAUUUGAGUCUUGGUUUGGUGGAUUUCCUGUAUAAUCCCUUUUGAAAUCAUGCAUGUUUGUUUUAUUUAUAGUUUGCCCUCCAGCAUGUCAAAUUUACUGCAUCCAGCCACAUAAAAACAAAACAAAAAACUGUCUGCAAACAUUAACAAGUGACUUUUGCACAGAAAACAUCAUUAUCUACACCCGAAGCAGUUUGGCACUGAUAAGUUAAAG
rnacentral:lncRNA from 1 species